rnacentral:rRNA from 1 species
GUUGAACGCUGGCGGCAUGCCUUACACAUGCAAGUCGAACGGCAGCACGGGGGCAACCCUGGUGGCGAGUGGCGAACGGGUGAGUAAUACAUCGGAACGUGUCCUUUCGUGGGGGAUAACCAGUCGAAAGACUGGCUAAUACCGCAUGAGAUCUCACGAUGAAAGCGAGGGACCGCAAGGCCUCGCGCGAUUGGAGCGGCCGAUGUCGGAUUAGGUAGUUGGUGGGGUAAAGGCCCACCAAGCCAACGAUCUGUAGCUGGUCUGAGAGGACGACCAGCCACACUGGAACUGAGACACGGUCCAGACUCCUACGGGAGGCAGCAGUGGGGAAUUUUGGACAAUGGGCGAAAGCCUGAUUCAGCCAUUCCGCGUGCAGGAUGAAGGCCCUCGGGUUGUAAACUGCUUUUGUACAGAACGAAAAGGUUUCUACUGAUACUAGGAGCUCAUGACGGUACUGUAAGAAUAAGCACCGGCUAACUACGUGCCAGCCGCCGCCGUAA